rnacentral:rRNA from 1 species
CCCUUAGAUGUUCUGGGCCGCACGCGCGCUACACUGACGAAUGCAACGAGCUUAUAACCUUGGCCGAAAGGUCUGGGUAAUCUCCAAAUUUCGUCGUGAUGGGGAUAGGUUAUUGCAAUUAUUAAUCUUCAACGAGGAAUGCCUAGUAAGCGCAAGUCAUCAGCUUGCGUUGAUUACGUCCCUGCCCUUUGUACACACCGCCCGUCGCUCCUACCGAUUGAAUGGUCCGGUGAAGCGUUCGGACCGUGGCCUUUGGACGGUUCGCCGUCUGUUGGCUGCGGGAAGUUCGUUAAACCUUAUCAUUUAGAGGAAGGAGANGUCGUNACA